rnacentral:miRNA from 1 species
GGUUGGUGCAAAAGUAAUUGUGGUUUUUGCCAUGAAAAGUAAUGGCAAAACCACAAUUACUUUUGCACCAACCUAA